AUUUACCUUAUGCUAAAGUAGCUAGAGAUAGAAAAAGCCACUUGUCGAAAUUCCAAAAUGUUGUAAAGGCCUCAUUUGAAUGAACAGAGAUAGCCUUUUAGAAUAAUAAUAAUAAUAUUAACAAAUAGUAUAGUAAUACUACAACAAAUAGAGAUGGACUUGAACAAAAUCGAUGCCAAUUAACUUUCCUAGAUGCUUUUGUCUUUCUUCCAUGACUUUCCAUGAUGCCAACUUUUUCUGAUCAAUGACUAUACUUUUACUUCUUUUUGGUAAUUUUGUGGAGUAUUAUGAGACAUGAAUAUUAUUGUAAUUUGAUUUUAUCUAUAUACACCUUUCAUUUUGCUGUGACAAUGCAAAAAAAAAAAGUUCAAUAAUGACACAAAUCUUGACUAUUGAUUUCAAUAGUGUAGCGGUCAACAACACUGAUGAUGGAUGGACGAUUCAGAUUACUUAGGACGAAAUAAUAAAGAGAAUGACACGAGAUAAUCUUGAUCCAGUUAAAUUAACUCAUACAACCGGGCUUAGGUUAUUUUUGUACCAAAAAAAAAUAAAAUUCAACCCUAAUAAUCUUCGAUGCCUCAUUUUUAUCUCUUCCUUCCUCUCAUAUCAUCAACUUAUCACACCAUUCUAUUUGUCUCUUUCUUUCACGAGGUGUAUACACUUCAAGAAGUGUCGACAAAAAACAUUUUUCAAAGAAUAAUGUUAUUUGAACAACUAAAAAUUAAAAAUUAUAUAUCUAGGUUUUUUUUUUAAAAAUUUAUCCCUUGAUAAUUUUAGGAUAAAAAUUAUAUAUCUAGGUUUUUUUUAUAAAAUUUAUCCCUCAAAUUAUCAAUGGAUGAAGUAUGUGUCACCUUUUAUCUAAUACCGUGUAAAAAUAUAUCAUUUAUAACUAUUGAUGUGACUUUAAAAGAAAAAAUAUAAUUAAAAAAAUAAAAUAGUAUAUACACUAUAUAAGUGUUAAACAACAAAUUUUUUGUUAACAUAACAUUUUUCUUUUCCAAAACAUUUAAUUAGUCAAUAACAAAGAAGUUGAAGCAAAAGAAAUGGAGAAAGCAUCACACAAAGCUAGCUUAAAUGGUAAGUGACCCUUGAAAAGUUGCUUUAGAACAUUAUUCUUUCAUCUUUAUUCGUCCUAAUAUUCAUUUAGAAUUUCGGAAUUUUUUUAGUGGGUAGCAUAGAAAAUUAUAAUUUCUUUUGGAGUACAACUUAAUUCAUAUGCGCUAAAAAUAUAGCUCAUUGUCAUGCUUUUUCUUUCCUUGCUCAUUGUCAUGUGUUUACUACUCCGUCUUAAAAUAUAAUAUUCUUUUUACAUUUUUCUUUGUUCUUUUUUUUAUAGGACUCUUUUCAUAAUUUUGAAGACAUUAACUAUUUCUUUACCAACAUACACCUAGCUAAGUAAAUUGCAUACUUUUCUACGAUCUGUAAUAAAUACUUUAUAAAAAUAAUAACUCAUUUUCUUUCUUGAAGGAUAAAUAAAAUAAUAAAAAUAAGGGUCAUAUGCUAAACAGUGCUCUCGAACACUAAUUAAAUAUACCAAAAAAAUAAAAAGACAAAAUUAAUGAUAAUAAUAUGACUUUUUAUGUCCUUAAUAUGUUGCAUUCACAAGUUUCAAGAUAAGUUUUCUAUAUUGGUAUGUUUUAACUAGUGUCCUUGGGGCACCGUUUAACAUUUUCCUAAAAAUAAUACCAAUUGUCAAUAUAUUUAAUAUCACAAUUAACUUUCUUAAUCUCCGCAAUUUUCUCAAUGGAAUCUUAUAAUUAGAAACGGGGUGAUAUAAAUUAUUUUUAGCCAAACAUUGUAGAGAAAUCUAUUUAGCACAUCAACAAGUUCCCUAUGCAACUAAACCAUUUUUUUUUUCCUAUGAACCGAUAUUUUUCUUUGUCCCUUUUAUAUGACAUAUUUUUACCAACAUAUACACCUAAUUAUAGUGCAUUUUUUUGUACAAUCUCUAAUACACUAAAAAUCAUUUACUCAUUCUCUCUUGAAAGAUAAAAUUAUAAAAAUAAUACCAAUUAUCAACAAAUUUAAUAGCAUAAUCAAUUUUCUUAAUCUCUGUGCUUUUUCCAAAAGAGACUUAUAUUUUGGAACGGAGUAGUAGUAAAAACAUGGGCUUGCAGCCUAUUUUUCAUAAUUGAACACGCACUCACAAUUAAAAUUAGUGCACCUCGAAAUUAGAGGAGGGUAACAUAUAUAUAUUGGACAAUCCUUGGGAUCAUUGCACUUCCAAUCUGCAAAAUCAAAUGACAAUAAAGAAUUUAUGGUAAUGAAAUAUUGAAAAUAACUUAAACUAGAGAAUGGGAAAAUAAUAUAAAAAAUUACUUACGGCCGUCGGUUAAAACAAGAAAUAUUGAAAGAAAGAUUAUUAAAGCAUAAAUAAACUUGAAAAUUUGAGCCAUAUUUUUUCUCUUUUAGAUGUAAUGCAUAAAAACUUUUGCACUUUAUAAGUAAAAAUUUUGUUUUGUUAACUUCAACAAAAUAUUCUUUA
rnacentral:lncRNA from 1 species